UUUUUCUUACUUGCUGGUUUACGUUCUUUGUCUUCGUAAUCAAUCUUGUCGGGGUCUAAUUUAUCCUCUUCUUCGGAACUGUCUUCAUCUUCAAAGCCUGUUGGCGGUUUGAAAUUAUUGUCUCCAAUGUAUUGGUUGUCCAACUCAUACAUGGGAUAAAUUGAAACUGGUAUAAUUAAUGGUUCAUCAGAUGAUUGCCCAAGCACAGCUCGGUACCAAACUAAUUGACCAACAAUUGAUAGGAUCACAGGUAAAAUUUUAAUCAACAUUGACUUCAAAACUGAUGACACAAGCGGAUGAGCAAAACAAACUUGAUGGAGAUGAUGAAGAUGGCAAUGGCGAUUAUAAAGGUGAUAGAGACAAUUUUUAUGCUGGAAUAGAUGUUGUGCAGGUGUUUGUCGUAUCCAAAUGAAAUUUCGUAGCGUAAAAAUCGUAUCUAACAGUCAACUUUGGAACCAAAGGAGAGAAACAAUGAAAUAUGAAGUUAUGAAGCAAAAAAGUAAUAUGAAAAGGAUUUAAAGAGUGGAUAAGAAAGUGUUAUAACAAAAUAUUUGGAGGAGGAGAAGGAAAACAAGUAGGAGGUGCAUAAUGGGUGAUACUUCUUUUGUCUCUGGUGCCAACCUUGAACUAACUUUGUCAGGAUUUCCUGAUGAACGGAAUAGUGAAAAAAAAGGAAAUUCAUUUUGUGAUUUAUUAAUUACCUGCUGCUGAAGAAAUUUUCACAGAUAAUAAUUGCCAUUGUUGAGUAAUUAUAGCAGAAAUAAACAGGAUUUUCUUUGGUUGUCAUCCUGGAUUUCAAAGUGGCCAAGAUUCAAAUUACAUGGAAAUGUGUGAAUAAGAAGCAACAUCCAAAAUUUCCCUUGCUAUUUUUGACCAUCAUACUUCACGUUCACCAGAUCUGGAAAGACCGGUUAAUUUGGGUUGAAAGAGGCUCAGAACAAUUCCAAGAUGGGUAUUUUCAGUAGGAGCAAGAAUUGAAUAAAUCUGAAUGUGUUGGGAAAUUCAGAAAUAGUACUAAAUCAUAAAGAAACUUAGUAACAAGUCAUUCGAGCUCACUUAGGCCUAACAAAUUUAGCGGAUGCAAGAAUUUAAUCACUUAAUCAUUUUGAUAGUUGCAUAUUGAAAGGUGUUAAAUUAUGUGAGUAUUUCAUUAUAAAUAGAUAAAUCUUUCGUAUAAUAAUGAAAUUAAUUUCUAUUAAACGAUGCAUUAAGAAAGCUGAACAUUCUAUUAUUGAAAUGUGCUUAUUAUUAAAUUACUAUUAUUCAAUGGGCAA